rnacentral:rRNA from 1 species
AGUGAACGCUGGCGGCAGGCCUAAUACAUGCAAGUCGAACGGCAGCACAGCAGAGCUUGCUCUGUGGGUGGCGAGUGGCGGACGGGUGAGGAAUACAUGGGAAUCUGCCCAGUCGUGGGGGAUAACGUAGGGAAACUUACGCUAAUACCGCAUGCGCCCUUCGGGGGAAAGCCGGGGACCUUCGGGCCUGGCGCGAUUGGAUGAGCCCAUGUCGGAUUAGCUAGUUGGCGGGGUAAAGGCCCACCAAGGCGACGAUCCGUAGCUGGUCUGAGAGGAUGAUCAGCCACACUGGAACUGAGACACGGUCCAGACUCCUACGGGAGGCAGCAGUAGGGAAUAUUGGACAAUGGGCGCAAGCCUGAUCCAGCCAUGCCGCGUGAGUGAAGAAGGCCUUCGGGUUGUAAAGCUCUUUUGUCCGGAAAGAAAAGCAUCUAGUUAACACCUGGGUGUCCUGACGGUACCGGAAGAAUAAGCACCGGCUAACUUCGUGCCAGCAGCCGCAGUAAGAC